UUAAAUUUUGACAGCACCUGUGAAAAAUCAAUCAUAUACAUUUUUCAAAUAUUUCUUGGAUCAAAAGCAUGAAACAUUUAACCGGUACGAGAUCACUGGAACGUAACAGCCGAUUAUCGUUGGCGCUAGUGAAAAAUCGCGCUGAACAAAACAACCUGAGCACCGAAUUGAACUUCUUGGACCGACAAAAGACGACCGCCUUAAGGGUGUUAAAAAACGACAAACAGGCUUUCAGGGUGAAAUAUGCGAGGAGCGGCACAUACGCGGAACAUUCGGACGAGCCUUUAAGUAAAUAUUUCGUACCCUCAAGCGAGCUGGAACAUGAUCCCACGGCGGCAUCCGAUGGCGAUAGAAACAACAUUUCAGCCGCUUAUGAAGAAAUUCACAAUAUGCUCUUUACGAACAACGAAAUAGACAAAGAGAAGAUCUUAUGCCUCCACCUCAUUUCCGCCCACAGGACCGAGAGUCUCACUCCUCCCAAACGCAAAUUCGCUUAUUUCAACUUGUGUAAGGUUCACUCCCCGUUGGAGCGCCUACUGGAAAGAUCCAAAAGGAAAAAUAUCCAUCACGAGCAGAAAAUGACGAACAUGCUUCCCAUCUAUACUGUCGAAAUGACGGAGCUCGGUUCUGGAGAAAGUAAAGAUCUUAUAAACGAUGGACGUUUGGCCACCCGGAUCCUCCUCAACGAGAGAGUGAGAGAGCUGAUCAACACGGUGCUGAACGCCCUCAAGCAAUCGAAUCCCGAAAAGAAUUAUGAACUGUUCGAGAUGGCCAAUGACGUCGUUGCACUGAAGCAACUCUUCACCAAAAGGAAAAUACUGGAUUUCUUGGACGAUCUACUGAACUGUCCCCUCAUUAAUAAUUGCGAUUCGUUCAUUCUCACCGCCCCGUUUCGUGUGAAAUCGGUACAACUGGAAAUCCGCACGGUGACCGGCAGUCUGGAGUUGUUAAUUAAGCAAAUAAGGCAGAAUGUCUUGCAGCCGCCCCCGAGGGCCAAAGUGAAAUCUGCCGAGGACCUUAUUACGGAGAAAAAGACCAAUUCUAAGGUUUUCACGGCGAAAAUGUCCAAGAAAGGAUCGGAGGAAGAUGUAUUUAAGGCUCUAGAGGGUCUCUAUACGGAAAAACAGUCGCGCAGAUCGUCGGAUAAUUCCGAAAAGAAAAUCGGGAGACGCGGGGACACCAACUUCGUGCGGAGAAACAUCGACGAGGCCGCCAACGCCAAGAAAGUCGAAUAUGAUAAAGACGAUGACAAUGAAUAUGAUUUCUUUCAUCGGCCAAGAAGACCCAGUACCACCUCCAAUAGAUCCAAAAGAAAAAGCCUGGAAAAGGGUAGCAUUGCAGACCGUCCCCAUUUGCAACCGAUCAAAAUACCAGAAGAAGUCACCGCUAUAAUGAUCGAAAAGGAUGACGGCCUCAAAGAGCCCACAAAUAAUGAAACAAGCGAACUGGAGAAAGUUCAGCUAAAAGUGUCAUCUUUGGAAAAGGUAAAAUCAAGUGAACACCUGAAAAUCCAUUUGAAGCAAACGACUUGUCCGGCCUGCAUGGAAAGGUACAAGAUUCCACUGCCUGCUCCGAAAACUCCCAGAGUGAAGGUAAAGAAAACAUGCCCUCAUCAGUAAUUCCCCUUAACCCCGGGGAAAACCCUCACUUAAAAACAAACAGUCGAAUUCGGAUUUCCAUGCUGAUUAACAAAGAAAUGUUCAAGCUACAGUCGUAUGAAAGGAGGUUUUCCUCUGAGGAAGGCUCUCGGCGCAGCAGCAUGAAGAAACAAGAAUUAGAAACGUGCUCUUCUAGUUAUAUAACCCUAACGCCACUGGAACUGGCCAAAAUUGAGCAGGAGAUCAAGGAGAAGGAAACGCAGAAGAAACUUGAGAAAUUUUUAAGUAGAUAAGGAAACUUUCUGUUGUAAGGGGUGUCUACCGAUUUUUACAAUUUGUCCUUCAUCUGUACCAUGAUAUAAAUUAAAAAAAAAAGUGUUUUAUUUUUAAAA